UGGCGGCAGGCUACCAUGCAAGUCGAGCGCGCCUUCGGGUGAGCGGCGGACGGGUUAGUAACGCGUGGGAACGUGCCCAGCUCUGCGGAAUAGCCUCUGGAAACGGAGAGUAAUACCGCAUACGCCCUUUUGGGGAAAGAUUUAUCGGAGUUGGAUCGGCCCGCGUUAGAUUAGGUAGUUGGUGGGGUAAUGGCCUACCAAGCCUACGAUCUAUAGCUGGUUUUAGAGGAUGAUCAGCAACACUGGGACUGAGACACGGCCCAGACUCCUACGGGAGGCAGCAGUGGGGAAUCUUAGACAAUGGGGGAAACCCUGAUCUAGCCAUGCCGCGUGAGUGAGGAAGGCCCUAGGGUCGUAAAGCUCUUUCGCCAGGGAUGAUAAUGACAGUACCUGGUACAGAAACCCCGUGCUAACUCCGUGCCAGCAGCCGCGGUAAUACGGAGGGGGUUAGCGUUGUUCGGAAUUACUGGGACGUAAAGCGCACGUAGGCGGACUGAUAAAUCAGGGGGUGAAAUCCCGGGACUCAAUCCCGGAA
rnacentral:rRNA from 1 species